UACGUAGGAGACGAGCGUUGUCCGGAAUUACUGGGCGUAAAGCGCGUGUAGGCGGAUGGGCAAGUCUGCUGUGAAAGCUCCUGGCUUAACCGGGAGUGGUCGGUGGAAACUGCCAAUCUGGAGGACGGUAGAGGCUGGUGGAAUUCCAGGUGUAGCGGUGAAAUGCGUAGAUAUCUGGAGGAACACCGGUGGCGAAGGCGGCAUCCUGGACCGGCAUUGACGCUGAGGCGCGAAAGCCAGGGGAGCAAACGGG
rnacentral:rRNA from 1 species